AAGAGCGGCUUUGUUGAAGCUCCUUGCCAAUGAAGAGCAAGCCGAUUGUUCGUCGGCGAGUCACCAACGAACGUCU
rnacentral:tRNA from 1 species